UACGUAGGGUGCAGGCGUUAAUCGGAAUUACUGGGCGUAAAGCGUGCGCAGGCGGUUUGCUAAGACAGGUGUGAAAUCCCCGGGCUUAACCUGGGAACUGCGCUUGUAACUGGCAAGCUUGAGUGUGGCAGAGGGGGGUGGAAUUCCACGUGUAGCAGUGAAAUGCGUAGAGAUGUGGAGGAACACCGAUGGCGAAGGCAGCCCCCUGGGCUAACACUGACGCUCACGCACGAAAGCGUGGGGAGCAAACAGG
rnacentral:rRNA from 1 species